CUUUACAUUCACAGUAAUGUCUUACAAUAACAGAAUGCAGGAGAGCACAUAUCAAUGAAGAAAAGACAAAAUGUACUUAUCCAUGAAGCUGAGGUUAAGAAACCAGUGUCUUCAAGAGCCAAGGACAGCACUGGGUCUGUGCAGAGUUGAGAGAUGGUGAUGACAUGUGGUUUCCAGCAUUCCUCACCCAGUCCAGGGACACUGUGGGUGUGCCCAGCUUAAGUCCAGUAACUGGAAAUACAAGCCCAAGUUCUGGAGAGUUUGAGCUGCAGAGAUAUAUGUGGGAACACUUUGAACCUUGACUCAUUGGCCAUAACCAGCAGAGUGGAAAAUACAAGAAGAGAAAAAAACAUUGAACUGCGAUUUUAUAACAUCCUUUACUCGGCAGAGAGAAGAGGAAACACCAGGAAAGAAAACUGUAUUACGAUGUGAAAACUUAACGUUGAGAAAUUCAGGCAUCUUGGGGUUAGUGAGGAGAAGUUUUAGGGGCUUAGAUUCUUCAAAACACAUGUACAGAAAUGCAUAUUUCAUCUGAUAUCAAAUGACAUUUAUAGUGCUAAUCUUUACCUCAAGACUUCACAUCUUUUGGUGAUUGCAUCUUUUAGGUUUAUAGCAGCUAAGUUUGCAUGAAAACACCAGGGCUGUUUCAUUUCAGUCAAGAAUUAAUGUUCAUUGAUUGUGCUUCUGCAUUUCACGUAACUAUUGUAGAAUUUGUUUUAGUUUUAUGAGGGAAUAAUUGGUCCAACUUCUAUAUAACUCAGGAAUUUACUCUCAAACAACACUGUCAAUUAGUUACUUAUCUCUCUGGAAAUGAUCUGGGAACAUGGAGAGGAAAGGGAGGAAGGGGCAAAAUCUGACCACUUAAAUCUAAGCAUAUUAGAUCAUUUUAUGCUAGAAAGUCCUGAAUGAUGUGACUUUUGUUCUUGUAAAACACCUCUUUCCAUAGAUUCAUGGCCCAAACAGUAUAUAAAGAGUGGGGAAGGAACUGCAUUUGCAAAUAGUUCAAGUCAUUGCUCCAUCUUAACUAUGCAGUUCACAAAGUGUGAAGAAAUUUGAUCAUCUCAAAAAAGAUAAUGGGAAAAAAU
rnacentral:lncRNA from 1 species